UACGUAGGGGGCAAGCGUUGUCCGGAAUCAUUGGGCGUAAAGAGCGUGUAGGCGGUUAUGCAGGUCCGCUGUGAAAACUGGAGGCUUAACCUCCAGACGUCGGUGGAAACCGUAUGACUAGAGUCCGGAAGAGGAGAGUGGAAUUCCUGGUGUAGCGGUGAAAUGCGCAGAUAUCAGGAAGAACACCCGUGGCGAAGGCGGCUCUCUGGGACGGUACUGACGCUGAGACGCGAAAGCGUGGGGAGCGAACAGG
rnacentral:rRNA from 1 species